rnacentral:rRNA from 1 species
AUACGUAGGUGGCAAGCGUUGUCCGGAUUUACUGGGUGUAAAGGGCGUGUAGGCGGAGAUGCAAGUCAGGAGUGAAAUCUAGGGGCUCAACCCCUAAACUGCUUUUGAAACUGUAUCCCUUGAGUAUCGGAGAGGCAGGCGGAAUUCCUAGUGUAGCGGUGAAAUGCGUAGAUAUUAGGAAGAACACCGGGGGCGAAGGCGGCUAUCGGGACAGUAACUGACGCUGAGGGUCGAAAGCGUGGGGAGCAAACAGGAUUAGAUCCCCUGUUAGUCCACGCCGUAAACGAUGAAUACUAGGUGUAGGGGGUAUCGACUCCCUCUGUGCCGCAGUUAACACAAUAAGUAUUCCGCCUGGGGAGUACGGCCGCAAGGCUUAAACUCAAAUGAAUUGACGGGG